CUUGGGGACUGGACAGACGGCACUGCUGAGGUGUCGCGAUCGGAGGAGGUGCGUGGCGGUAGCGUGACAGCGGCACGGAAAUAACUCCACGAAAGCAGAACACUCAAGACUGCAUCCAACAGGAACUCUGAAGCCUGUGCACAAAAUUAGCGAUCUUUCCCCAUCCCACCCCAUGAUCACGUUCAUGAGUCAGCGGGACAGAAGUGCUGAAGUACCUCAGUUUUACAGAUACACAACCACGUAAGACGCUGUAGAGAAGACUGACCUGAGCCUGAGGAGACCUUCUUGAAUGACCUCAUCGUCUUCUGAGGAACCUAAAAUCAGAGAGCUGGAGUCAGUACCGAGUACACUGUCCCAGAGUACCGUAUUUAAUUACCUCAUCUCCAGUUUAACGGCUCAUUAGGAGGCCGUAAAAUGCCAGGGCACUGACUCUAUGAAGUGACCUCUAAACCUACUGUUUGAGACUUACCUAGCUCAUCAGAACAACGAGAUAACCAAAGCACAAGAGAAAAAAAUGAAGUGCUGCUUUCUCCCUGCCCCACAGCACCAGUAAAAGCAUUGCCCCUUUCAUUAGUCUCUUAUGAAAGCUACACAGUUGAUGACAACCGAGGGAAAAUACACAGAUUUGCAGAAUACUGGAAGGUGGUUUUUUCCUUUAUCAAUAUUUAAUUGCAGGAGGUAACCUAAGAACUAGUGAGUUGUUUUUACUAUGCUUAAAUUGUACAUAUUAAACAAUCAAGUCAUACCUUGUGUAUGAUUUAAGAAAAGCUGAUAAAAAUAAUUCUCCAAGUUUCUUUUAUGAUCAAAAUAGUAACUUAAUGACAACUUAUGAAUAUCAACAGAAAAAUGCUUUUAGUUAUGACUGUUUAGUUUUGAGUGUUUAAGUUAUGCCAGAGCAUAAUAUAUGGUGAUAUUAAAUUCUACAUCUCAAUCUUAACAAAAUUCAUCAGUCACACAAAUACAGAUGUGUAUUGACUGAAACUUCAUGAAACAUGUACUUUUGCUCUAGCUGAAAAAGGCCUGGCUUGUUUUGUAGAAUGCCAACAAAAAUAUCACACAGAAAAAAACCGCUGCAGAUGGCAUGAAGUAUUAAGGAAAAUAUAUUGGUUUUGGUGUAUUCUUGUUACUUAGGUUGUCCAGUUUGCUUAACAAAUGAAGGAUGGAUAGGAGCAUGCACAAACUCACCUGCCACAAGCCUGUCCUCUUGUCACCCUCUACUGUCUUUUUGAAUAAUCUACGUUAACUAAUGCCCAUCAAAAGGAAAAAAAGGAAUUGCAGUAUCUACCUGUUUAGAUAUAAGCCCAGUUCUGUUUUACAGAAAUUCGAGUUUUGUCUUUUUUUCCAAUUUAAGAGAACAUCUAGACAGCUAUCCUGCUCUCUUACUAAAAAAAAAAAAAAUAAAAAAUUUGAUAUCCUACUAGGAGUGAGCAAAGUCAGAAGAAAAAUGAACAAAGACAAACAAGAACCAAUUUUCUCUAAAUUAUUUUCCCUUUCCAACGCCAGAAAUUGGUAAAGGGGGUGGUACAAUCUUUCUUUUCAGUGCAACAACACUGGCAAGCUGAUUCAGUUCCUCUUCUUUUGUAGUAACUAAGUUUUCCACUGGAAUUGUAUGGACUUUUGUCUAGGAUUAAACCUAACUCUGCUUUUACACCUUCAAGCACUGAAGUCCUAUCUCUUUUAUCUGCUUCUUUGUUCUGCCAACCUGUGGCUAUGAGGCUUUUGUGUCUUUCAGAUUUACUUGCAUUAUUUAUGCAACAUAAUGAAAUAUGCAAGCAUAGA